rnacentral:lncRNA from 1 species
AAUAUAAUCAAAUCACUUCAUUUUAUAGUAUGAUUUACUCACUAUUGGAUAAGUUGCUAAGAAUAACUCUAUGAAUUCUCUAUAUGCUUGAUUGAGAGUUUUUAUCCAUGGCAUUAUUGUUUAUCGAUCAUAAAUAUGAAAAUGUGCACUUGGUAUGCUUUUGAAUUUAUGCACUAUGAAUACUAAGAUUAAAGAAACCAUCCUUGGGAUAUAAAAUCAACUCAUGCUAGUAUGUACUUAAUCUCAAAAGAUCUUGUCAUUGGUUUACUUAGAUUAUCUUUUGCAAGGUCAAAGUUUGCUAUGCAUAUUAACUAAGGAAACAAACAAAAAUCAAUCUCUAAAUCUAAAGA